AUUCCCAAGUGCCUGAUCACUCCCCGUCCGGUCCUCUGCUAAGCAGCAGUGUGGAAUAUGAUACUUUUACUUCAACUUGUUUUCUUUGUCACCAUCUUCAGAGUGGCCCUUUCAGAAGUCCAGCUGGUGGAAUCAGGUGGAGAUGUCAAAAGACCUGGAGACUCCCUCCGUCUUUCCUGUCGAGGCUCUGGGUUCACCUUCAGCAGCUACUACUUUUCUUGGGUGAGACAAGCACAUGGAAAAGGAUUGGAAUGGGUAGCCUAUAUAGAAUCAACCUCAACUUACUAUUCAGAUUCUGUGAAAGGACGAUUCACCAUCUCCAGGGACAAUGCUAACAGCCUGUUGCACUUGCAAAUGAACAACCUGAAACCUGAAGACACGGCUGUGUAUUACUGUGCAAGAGACACAGUGAGGGGAAAUGUAUCUGAAGCCAGGCAAAAACCCUCUUGGGAUCCUGAAAACUCUCCAGGCUGGUUCUUCUGCAGUAAGUUGAACGGAAGAAAUUAUGAGAAAGGAAACUGA